GGCAAAACAGAAUUCUUGAGUAUUCAGUAAGAGCAAUUAAGAUUUUAUUUGCACAGUAUUUGCAUAAAAGUAAAAACCAGCUGGGCCUAUUUUGGUUCCACAUCCAGUGGGGAUAAAGGCAGCUCAGAGACACACAGUCAAGAAGCAGAGGAAAGUUGAGUUACAAAGGAUCAAAAAGAUUUCUGCCCUGUAAUUAAGUAAUACCUAGGGGUUAGCCUCCAUGAUUGUAAAUAUCAGGAAAGGGGAUUUGCCAAGGGGUGGGCAGGGCUGAGGUCAGCAGGACUGAGGUCAGCAGGACUGAUGUCUGCCAGAUGACGGGCGGACAGAGCUCGGGAUCCGCGCCUGUCUUGGAUCCGGGCGGCAGCGAUUACAGAACCAGACAUCACAGGGGAGUGUGGCCAAUUGGCUGCCCCGGAGCCUGGCAGAAACGUGUGGAAUCUGGCCAGGAAUUCCCCGUUCACCACUGCCUCUGGAUUGUUACUCAACCUUCAGAUGGAAAGCUGGCGUUGGAACCAAGACCGAGAUCUGGCCGAUCCAGUCGUGGGUGCGUUUCUGCCCAGUUUCACCACAGCAGCUUCACUGGAAACGAACGAACAAAAAAAGCAACGAUGGAGACAGGCCUGGGAAACGACAAACAUCAGGAGGCUGGUAGCUAGCUGCUUUGGAAUGUUAAGAUGACUCGUGGGAAUCAGCCCUGACACCAAAGCCUGGGAGGUAAAAGUCUGGGGUGUGCGUUAGACGGUGGAGGUGGGGGGCGGGAAUAAGGACAGAGUGGCCAAGGGAACAGACCCGCAGGAACGGUCAGCAUUCAAGUCACAACGCCUGGGUUAUAAAGCGACAGUGAUGGGGCAAAACUGAGAAGAAAGUGCAACAGAGCCGCGGAGGGAUGGACUACAGCUGCUCCCUUAGCAGACCCAUUUUUCAAAUGAAGAGCGGCGCCCUGUGCCCCAGGCAGGGCUGUGAACUCAGAGUCUCUGACAGUCAGUGUUCUCUGCCAAAAGGGCAGCAGCGGUUAAGGUUAUCUGGCGGAGAAGAGCCUCUGAGGUUCGUGUCAUGUGGACAGACACCUGCCCAAGGUCACCACCCCGCUCCCCGACGAUGCUCGCAUCCCCCUUGGCUGGGGGUCGACUGGGGCGUGCGUGUGGGGGCCUGACUCAUACGUGCGUGCGUGUGGGGCCAGACUCCUACCUACGACUGGCGUCUCCGGUAAGGCUUAGCGGCGAGGGCGGCCUGCAUCUGUCCCGAGGGGUGGCCCUGAAUCUCGGGGUGUGCAUAGCUU
rnacentral:lncRNA from 1 species